rnacentral:rRNA from 1 species
AUUGAACGCUGGCGGCAUGCUUUACACAUGCAAGUCGAACGGUAACAGCACUUCGGUGGCUGACGAGUGGCGAACGGGUGAGUAAUACAUCGGAACGUGCCUAGUAGUGGGGGAUAACUACUCGAAAGAGUAGCUAAUACCGCAUGAGAUCUAAGGAUGAAAGCAGGGGACCUUCGGGCCUUGCGCUACUAGAGCGGCUGAUGGCAGAUUAGGUAGUUGGUGGGAUAAAAGCUUACCAAGCCGACGAUCUGUAGCUGGUCUGAGAGGACGACCAGCCACACUGGGACUGAGACACGGCCCAGACUCCUACGGGAGGCAGCAGUGGGGAAUGUUGGACAAUGGGCGCAAGCCUGAUCCAGCAAGGCCGCGUGCAGGAUGAAGGCCUUCGGGUUGUAAACUGCUUUUGUACGGAACGAAAAGCCCUCUUCUAAUACAGGAGGGUCAUGACGGUACCGUAAGAAUAAGCACCGGCUAACUACGUG